rnacentral:rRNA from 1 species
CGGAGGUACUCGAGUGGCGAACGGGUGAGUAACACGUGGGUGAUCUGCCCUGCACUCUGGGAUAAGCCCGGGAAACUGGGUCUAAUACCGGAUAGGACCAUGCUUUAGUGUGUGUGGUGGAAAGUUUUUUCGGUGUAGGAUGAGCCCGCGGCCUAUCAGCUUGUUGGUGGGGUAAUGGCCUACCAAGGCGGCGACGGGUAGCCGGACUGAGAGGUUGGUCGGCCACAUUGGGACUGAGAUACGGCCCAG